GACGAACGCUGGCGGCGGGCUUAACACAUGCAAGUCGAACGGAAAGGGCCUGCUUGCGUCUGGUGUUCGAGUCGCGAACGGGUGAGUAACAUGGGAGUAACCUGGCCUGGACUGUGGGACAACUUCAGGCAACUGGGGAUAACACCGAAUAGGAGCGGCUGCUGCAUGGUGGGGGUCGGAAAGUUUCGGCGGUUGUGGAUGGACUGCGGGCUUACCAGCUUGUGGGGGGGGUAGCGGCUUAGCAAGGCAUUGGAGGGUAGCCGGCAUGGGAGGGUGGCCGGCCACAUUGGGCCUGCGAGACGCACCAGAGUCCUACGGUGGGCAGCAGUGGGGAAUAUUGUACAAUGGGCGGAAGCCUGAUGCGGCAGCGCCGCGUGCGUGAUGCCGGCCUUCGGGUUGUAAACCGCUUUCACCUGUGACGAAGCGUGAGUGACGUUAAUGGGUAAAGAAGCACCGGCUAACUACGUG
rnacentral:rRNA from 1 species